rnacentral:rRNA from 1 species
UUCAGCGGGGAGGAAGGCGGUGAGGUUAAUAACCUCACCGAUUGACGUUACCCGCAGAAGAAGCACCGGCUAACUCCGUGCCAGCAGCCGCGGUAAUACGGAGGGGGCAAGCGUUAAUCGGAAUUACUGGGCGUAAAGCGCACGCAGGCGGUCUGUCAAGUCGGAUGUGAAAUCCCCGGGCUCAACCUGGGAACUGCAUUCGAAACUGGCAGGCUAGAGUCUUGUAGAGGGGGGUAGAAUUCCAGGUGUAGCGGUGAAAUGCGUAGAGAUCUGGAGGAAUACCGGUGGCGAAGGCGGCCCCCUGGACAAAGACUGACGCUCAGG